AUCCAACUGACAAGUACCAAAUAGGACGAAGCGUGCGUUCUGGAU
rfam:Schistosoma margrebowiei strain Zambia genome assembly, scaffold: SMRZ_scaffold0000265